rnacentral:SRP_RNA from 1 species
GGCGGGCCGCCCCGCAUUGGGAGUCGGCAUAACUGGUCAGGUCGGGAACGAAGCAGCCAAGGCUGAAUUUCUCAAGUGCCGGGGGUCCGGCUCGCCCCC